CAGAAAUGAAUUUGCAUAAAGUCUCAGUGUCUCCUUUAGGAGGCUCUCUUAUGCGCUCCAGUGGAACUGCAGAGGACACUAUAAAACUGAGGGCCACCUCCCCUGGAGUCAGCCAGU